rnacentral:rRNA from 1 species
CGAAGUCGGAAUCGCUAGUAAUCGCGGAUCAGCAUGCCGCGGUGAAUACGUUCCCGGGCCUUGUANACACCGCCCGUCACACCAUGGGAGUUUGUAACGCCCAAAGUCGGUGGCCUAACCUUUAUGGAGGGAGCCGCCUAAGGCGGGACAGAUGACUGGGGGUGAAGUCGUAACAAGGUAGC